rnacentral:tRNA from 1 species
GGGGGCGUGGCGAAAUGGUAAACGCAAGCGACUUAAAAUCGCUCGUCUUCUGACUUACGGGUUCAAGUCCCGUCGCCCCCACCA